UCUACGGGGGGCUGCAGUGGGGAAUAUUGGACAAUGGGCGAAAGCCUGAUCCAGCCAUGCCGCGUGUGUGAAGAAGGCCUUCGGGUUGUAAAGCACUUUCAGUGGGGAAGAAAGCCUUGGGGCUAAUACCCUCGAGGAAGGACAUCACCCACAGAAGAAGCACCGGCUAACUCCGUGCCAGCAGCCGCGGUAAUACGGAGGGUGCGAGCGUUAAUCGGAAUUACUGGGCGUAAAGCGCGCGUAGGCGGUCUGAUAAGCCGGUUGUGAAAGCCCCGGGCUCAACCUGGGAACGGCAUCCGGAACUGUCAGGCUAGAGUGCAGGAGAGGAAGGUAGAAUUCCCGGUGUAGCGGUGAAAUGCGUAGAGAUCGGGAGGAAUACCAGUGGCGAAGGCGGCCUUCUGGACUGACACUGACGCUGAGGUGCGAAAGCGUGGGUAGCAAACAGGAUUACAUACCCGUGUAGUC
rnacentral:rRNA from 1 species